rnacentral:lncRNA from 1 species
AAAUUAUUACGGUGUAGAUCGACUCAUGAAAUCCUCCAUAAAGAACUUAAUUUUAAUUAAUUCUACAGUUUAUAAUCCAUCUAAACUUCUAAACCAUUGGAUCAUCAAUAUUAGGUCUGGAGUCGUCCCUUGAUUCCAUGACCCUAAUCAUCUCGUCUAACAUGUUUCCUAUCCUCGAUUAUAUUUUCCACAUGUCGCCGCCACGACAUAGCCAUGGCUUCUAUUUCACCCUACAACCCUAGAUCUUCCCGUAACCUAAUCAUCAAACAUCAGCCAUCUCAGAUUUUAGGCAAAAACAAUCAGCUCUCCGGGACGUAGAAAGUUGACUCCUUCUACCACACGAAUGAUGUGAUUUAAUUACUGGGAGGAAGUGUUUCAGAAAAUAGAGCCAUGGACUCAAUCGGCCAUGCUACUGCCACCAUCCGACCUUUCCGAGGCGAGACAAGGUUCUUUAAAGCGUUCUCGCACGUAUAAAAUCAAAUACAACUUGGCUACUUAUAGAGUUGUGUGGGCAUGAUAAGAUGUGCGGGUAUACAUCAGCUAG